CGCGUAGGCGGACAGUUUAGUCAGAGGUGAAAGCCCAGGGCUCAACCUUGGAAUUGCCUUUGAUACUGGCUGUCUUGAGUACGGGAGAGGUGUGUGGAACUCCGAGUGUAGAGGUGAAAUUCGUAGAUAUUCGGAAGAACACCAGUGGCGAAGGCGACACACUGGCCCGUUACUGACGCUGAGGCGCGAAAGCGUGGGGAGCAAACAGGAUUAGAUACCCUGGUAGUCCACGCUGUAAACGAUGAGUGCUAGUUGUCGGCAUGCAUGCAUGUCGGUGACGCAGCUAACGCAUUAAGCACUCCGCCUGGGGAGUACGGUCGCAAGAUUAAA
rnacentral:rRNA from 1 species